AUUGGAAAUCUAAUUUAAAAUUUCACUCUGCUGAUUUCAAAACCAUAUAAAAGUUAUACUUAAACUAAAAAGUUCUUACGUGUUAAUAUUUACAACCUAUUUACAAUUUAUGCUUCAUCUAAAGUCUAUUAAAGUUUUAAUUAAGUGAGUUAAACUUAAAUCUGAAAAUGUACAAUCUAUAUGUUAGAGUAAGGAUUUCUGCUCAAGAAAAAGCUAAUAGCUUACCCAGUCUAUAUUUUCUCAUACAUGUUGGAAUGAUCUAAGUCCUGUAAACAUUAGAAAGCGCACAAACGAAAAUUUUAAUCGCGUAACGCGAAAUAUACGAGGUUUAAAAUUUUGGAAAAACUGUUUUCUUAUUGCAUCCGCAACAGCCACUGUCUUCCACAAGCCAGUCCGCAUUUUCUCAUGUAUAAUUAGAUUGCAAAUAAGAGUUACGUACUGAUAUGUAUCCAACAAAAUCGUAUUCGACGCGCAAAAGCCGCUUAUCGGUACCAUUUUGGAAUAAUUUUGAGCGAUGCACUUAUAUAGGUAUUUUAAUACGAUAAAAUCCGAUUAAGCGCGACCAGCUACAUGCAGCUAUACAAUUUUGUGCUGAAAAUCGUAUAUUUGUCAGCUACUAGCAUUAUAAACGAUAGAAUAUCAACUUGUGCACACUUUAUUAGACUUUAUUUACGAAUGCGAAUUUGUUAAGAGAUAUUUAUGAUAAUUU